GGCCAUAGCUUAGUGGGUAGAACAUCUGUUUUGCAUACAGAAGGUCCUAAAUUCAAUCCUUAGCAUCUCCC
rnacentral:tRNA from 1 species